AUUGAACGCUGGCGGCGUGCCUAACACAUGCAAGUCGAACGGCAGCAUAAGUGGAGCUUGCUCUACUUGAUGGCGAGUGGCGGACGGGUGAGUAAUAUGUAGGAAUCUACCUAGAGGAGCGGGAUAACUUAGGGAAACUUAAGCUAAUACCACAUAAUCCCCACGGGGGAAAGCAGGGGAUCUUCGGACCUUGCGCCUUAUGAUGAGCCUACAUCGGAUUAGCUAGUUGGUGGGGUAAAGGCCUACCAAGGCGACGAUCCGUAGCUGGUCUGAGAGGAUGACCAGCCACACUGGGACUGAGACACGGCCCAGACUCCUACGGGAGGCAGCAGUGGGGAAUAUUGGACAAUGGGCGAAAGCCUGAUUCAGCAAUGCCGCGUGUGUGAAGAAGGCCUUAGGGUUGUAAAGCACUUUCAGUGGGGAGGAAGUUGUAGGUGUUAAUGCCAUCUGCAAUUGACGUUACCCACAGAAGAAGCACCGGCUAACUCUGUGCCAGCCGCCGCGGUAA
rnacentral:rRNA from 1 species